UACAGAGGGGGCAAGCGUUGUUCGGAAUACUGGGCGUAAAGGGCGCGUAGGCGGCCUUCUAAGUCGAACGUGAAAUCCCCGGGCUCAACCCGGGAACUGCGUCCGAUACUGGAAGGCUUGAAUCCGGGAGAGGGAUGCGGAAUUCCAGGUGUAGCGGUGAAAUGCGUAGAUAUCUGGAGGAACACCGGUGGCGAAGGCGGCAUCCUGGACCGGC
rnacentral:rRNA from 1 species